AUUGAACGCUGGCGGCAGGCCUAACACAUGCAAGUCGAGCGAGAAAGCACUUCGGUGUGAGUAGAGCGGCGGACGGGUGAGUAACGCGUAGGAAUCUACCGAGUAGUGGGGGACAACAUGUGGAAACGCAUGCUAAUACCGCAUACGCCCUACGGGGGAAAGGGGGCAGCUUGCUGCUCUCGCUAUUCGAUGAGCCUGCGUAAGAUUAGCUAGUUGGUAGGGUAAAGGCUUACCAAGGCGACGAUCUUUAGCUGGUCUGAGAGGAUGAUCAGCCACAUCGGGACUGAGACACGGUCCAG
rnacentral:rRNA from 1 species